rnacentral:snRNA from 1 species
AUCGCUUCUCGGCCUUUUGGCUAAGAUCAAAGUGUAGUAUCUGUUCUUAUCAGCUUAAUAUCUGAUACGGGUCCUAUUUGGACCCAAGAUAUUAAACUUAUUUUUGGAAUGGGGCGGAGUGCUUGAAGCUUGCUUCACCUCCGCCACGGGUUGGCCCGGUAUUGCACUAUCUCCGGGAUCGGCCCACUCACC